GAUGAACGCUGGCGGCGUGCCUAAUACGUGCAAGUCGAGCGAACAGACGAGGAGCUUGCUCCUCUGACGUUAGCGGCGGACGGGUGAGAAACACGUGGAUAACCUACCUAUAAGACUGGGAUAACUUCGGGAAACCGGAGCUAAUACCGGAUAAUAUAUUGAACCGCAUGGUUCAAUAGUGAAAGACGGUUUUGCUGUCACUUAUAGAUGGAUCCGCGCCGCAUUAGCUAGUUGGUAAGGUAACGGCUUACCAAGGCAACGAUGCGUAGCCGACCUGAGAGGGUGAUCGGCCACACUGGAACUGAGACACGGUCCAGACUCCUACGGGAGGCAGCAGUAGGGAAUCUUCCGCAAUGGGCGAAAGCCUGACGGAGCAACGCCGCGUGAGUGAUGAAGGUCUUCGGAUCGUAAAACUCUGUUAUUAGGGAAGAACAAAUGUGUAAGUAACUAUGCACGUCUUGACGGUACCUAAUCAGAAAGCCACGGCUAACUACGUG
rnacentral:rRNA from 1 species